rnacentral:lncRNA from 1 species
AGAAAUAGAACGUUGCUACAAGCCAAGGCUGCAAUGAAACGAAACCGCUAGCUUCACAAGCCACACCACCAGCUACAACAAGCUACUGCAACCAAAACGCAGUGAGCUAUUUGAAUAGAAAUCCAAAACGACAUGAAGCUACAAGCUGCAUAAGAAAGCUGCACCAGAAAACAAACUCACAACAAUGGAUUGAGGAUGAGGAUUGAGAGCCGGAGGAGUGUGGUGGUGUUGGUACGAUCCGUUCUUGAAAGCGAUUGAGGAUGAGGAUUGUAGUCAAAGUGUUAAGCACUUUUCCAUAAGUGAUUUUCUGCUUUUCUUUCCUACAUUACGUUUUGUUUGGUAGUUGGACCUGAGUACCUUGGCUGUUUGGGCCUAAGGCCCAAAACGAGCUCACUC